rnacentral:rRNA from 1 species
UACGAGGGGGACAAGCGUUGUUCGGAAUUACUGGGCGUAAAGGGCGCGUAGGCGGCCUGCUAAGUCGGACGUGAAAUCCCCCGGCUCAACCGGGGAACUGCGUCCGAUACUGGUGGGCUCGAAUCCGGGAGAGGGAUGUGGAAUUCCAGGUGUAGCGGUGAAAUGCGUAGAUAUCUGGAGGAACACCGGUGGCGAAGGCGGCAUCCUGGACCGGUAUUGACGCUGAGGCGCGAAAGCCAGGGGAGCAAACGGGG